rnacentral:tRNA from 1 species
GCCUUGAUGGUGAAAUGGUAGACACGCGAGACUCAAAAUCUCGUGCUGAAGAGCGUGGAUGUUCGAGUCCUCUUCAAGGCA